GAUGAACGCUGGCGGCGUGCCUAAUACAUGCAAGUCGAGCGAACGGACGAGAAGCUUGCUUCUCUGAUGUUAGCGGCGGACGGGUGAGUAACACGUGGAUAACCUACCUAUAAGACUGGGAUAACUUCGGGAAACCGGAGCUAAUACCGGAUAAUAUUUUGAACCGCAUGGUUCAAAGGUGAAAGACGGUCUUGCUGUCACUUAUAGACGGAUCCGCGCUGCAUUAGCUAGUUGGUAAGGUAACGGCUUACCAAGGCAACGAUGCAUAGCCGACCUGAGAGGGUGAUCGGCCACACUGGAACUGAGACACGGUCCAGACUCCUACGGGAGGCAGCAGUAGGGAAUCUUCCGCAAUGGGCGAAAGCCUGACGGAGCAACGCCGCGUGAGUGAUGAAGGUCUUCGGAUCGUAAAACUCUGUUAUUAGGGAAGAACAUAUGUGUAAGUAACUGUGCACAUCUUGACGGUACCUAAUCAGAAAGCCACGGCUAACUACGUG
rnacentral:rRNA from 1 species